rnacentral:tmRNA from 1 species
GGGGGUGUAAUUGGUUUCGACAGUAAUUUAGAAGUAUAAAUAGCGAGUAGUGGAUGGUUGCUUUGGCCACUAUAAAAAAGCAAAAAUAAAUAUAAACGCUGAUAAUAACGAAUUAGCAUUCGCUGCCUAAGAUGCCGCGACGUCUUAUCAUUAAUGCCCACGUUUUUGAAUAAGGCGACGAACUAGUGGGAAACGAAGCUAUUUUUUUCUAUAGAAAAUAGGGGGUAUUUAUAUAGAUACCUAAAAGUAAGUAUGUUUGUUUACGUACUUUUAGGGAAUGUAAAUAACAAACUGCACUCGGAGAAAUUUGUAUGGAAGAGUUAUUGGACAGGAGUUCGACUCUCCUCACCUCCACCA